UACAUGUGGGGCAAGCGUUGUUCGGAAUUACUGGGCAUAAAGGGCGCGUAGGCGGGCUGCCAAGUCUGGGGUGAAAUCCCACGGCUCAACCGUGGAACUGCCUCGGAUACUGGCGGUCUCGAGGGAGGUAGGGGCAUGCGGAACUGUGGGUGGAGCGGUGAAAUGCGUUGAUAUCCACAGGAACUCCGGUGGCGAAAGCGGCGUGCUGGACCUCUUCUGACGCUGAGGCGCGAAAGCUAGGGGAGCAAACGGG
rnacentral:rRNA from 1 species